GACGGAGCAAUACCGCGUGAGGGAGGAAGGCUCUUGGGUUGUAAACCUCUUUUCUCAGGGAAGAAUGAUGACGGUACCUGAGGAAUAAGCAUCGGCUAACUCCGUGCCAGCAGCCGCGGUAAUACGGAGGAUGCAAGCGUUAUCCGGAAUGAUUGGGCGUAAAGCGUCCGCAGGUGGCAAUGUAAGUCUGCUGUCAAAGCGUCUGGCUCAACCAGAUAAAGGCAGUGGAAACUACAUAGCUAGAGUAAGGUAGGGGUAGAGGGAAUUCCUGGUGUAGCGGUGAAAUGCGUAGAGAUCAGGAAGAACACCGGUGGCGAAAGCGCUCUGCUGGACCUUAACUGACACUGAGGGACGAAAGC
rnacentral:rRNA from 1 species